CUUAACACAUGCAAGAUCGAGCGCCGUAGCAAUACGGAGCGGCAGACGGGAGAGUUACACCUGGGAAUGUACCCUUUGGUUCGGAACAACACAGGGAAACUUGAGCUAAUACCGGAUACGCCCUUAGGGGGAAAGAUUUAUUGCCGAAGGAUCGGCCCGCGUCCGAUUAGCUAGUUGGUGAGGUAAAGGCUCACCAAGGCGACGAUCGGCAGCUGGUCUGAGAGGAUGAUCAGCCACACUGGGACUGAGACACGGCCCAUACUCCUACGGGAGGCAGCAGUGGG
rnacentral:misc_RNA from 1 species